rnacentral:rRNA from 1 species
UGGGGAAUAUUGGACAAUGGGCGAAAGCCUGAUCCAGCCAUGCCGCGUGUGUGAAGAAGGUCUUCGGAUUGUAAAGCACUUUAAGUUGGGAGGAAGGGCAGUAAGCGAAUACCUUGCUGUUUUGACGUUACCGACAGAAUAAGCACCGGCUAACUCUGUGCCAGCAGCCGCGGUAAUACAGAGGGUGCAAGCGUUAAUCGGAAUUACUGGGCGUAAAGCGCGCGUAGGUGGUUCGUUAAGUUGAAUGUGAAAGCCCCGGGCUCAACCUGGGAACUGCAUCCCAAACUGGCGAGCUAGAGUAGGGCAGAGGGUGGUGGAAUUUCCUGUGUAGCGGUGAAAUGCGUAGAUAUAGGAAGGAACACCAGUGGCGAAGGCGACCAUCUGGGCUCAUACUGACACUGAGGUGCGAAAGCGUGGGGAGCAAACAGG